rnacentral:misc_RNA from 1 species
UGUUUUUUGGCUUCGGCUAUCAACCGUUGUAAGCUUAGGGCAAAAUGCCGCAGCCGUAGACGCAAAAUACCCGAUUCCGACAAUUCGUGAUGUAAUUGUAUACCUGCGACUAGAAUUUAACCUUUAACCGGUCAUUGCAUGCGCACGUACUAAGGAGGAACGCUCAAGGUCAUCCUUACUGCCUCUUCGACGAUCUGCAGGAAAACAACAUCAUUUUGGGCUGCAACAGGUUAAAACCACGAUUCCAAAAGUUGAUGUGAGCCUGUGCUACAUUCCAAUCGCCGGCGAUCGAUCACCUUGUCAGUUGUGGUCACCGGCAGCUCGCUUUGUUCUCGCUGGGUUCUGUGGUCCCUCCUGAUUGGCUGACACCAUCCUUCAUAAGAUGCCAAUACAGGACCUCAUUCCUCAGUCUCCCGGUGACUCUGUAGACGUCGCUGGCCAGAUCAAAAUGGAGCUGGAUGCCGAAAACUCAGACAUGAAUGACCUGGAGGGAGAAGAAGACUUGAAGGAUGAAACUUGCGACCCAGACAACCCCAUCGUUGUGAAGUUUCAAGAUGUGAGCGCUGCUGCCUACAAGAUAAAGAGCGGAAUCCACCGGACACCUUGCCAGAAAUCCCAGAUCUCCAGCCUGGUAGGCAUGGAGCUCUUCUUCAAGAAAGAGUUCCUUCUUCCCACUGGCAGCUUCAAAGAGCGUGGAGCUCGCAACACUCUCCUGACACUGUCAGAGGAGCAAAGACUGAAGGGCGUGAUCGCAGCAUCGGCAGGGAACCACGCCCUGGCUCUGUCCUAUCACGGCCAAAGCCUUGGUGUCCCAGUAACCGUCGUCAUGCCGAUCAUUGCUCCAAUCAUGAAGAUCAACAGGUGCAAACAGAAUGGAGCCACGGUGAUCAUCCAUGGGCAGGACCUUGGUGAGUCCAAGACAUACGCCUUACGACUCAGCAAGAGGAAAGGCAUGACGUACAUCAAUGGGUACGACAAUCCACAUAUCAUCGCGGGACAAGGCACCGCUGGAUUAGAGAUUGUCGAACAGGUCCCUGACCUGGAUGCCGUUAUUGUUCCAGUGGGAGGGGCCGGUCUCAUUGCUGGGAUAGCACUUGCUGUGAAAAGUCUAUCCCCAAGGACCACCAUCAUUGGAGUUGAAGCAGAACAGUGUCCGAGUUUUUCAGCCGCGUUGGAUGCUGGUCAUCCCAUAUGGACUAGGUCCGGUCCCUCAUUGGCUGACGGUCUUGCUGUGCCAACAGUCGGUGUGAAUGCAUUUGUCACGGCCAGGAACUAUGUAGAUAAGAUGGUGGUUGUCAGUGAGGACCUAAUUGCUUUGGCCAUCUUGAGGCUAAUCGAGAUGGAGAAGGCUGUGGUGGAGGGGGCUGGAGCUGCUGGUGUGGCUGCCAUCCUUGGGGACAAGCUGCCAGAACUCAAGGGCAAGAAGGUCGCCAUUCCGCUGUGCGGGGGAAACAUAGACACCACGGUCCUGGGCCGCGUGCUGGAGCGAGGCCUGGCUGCAGACGGCCGCCUUGCUCGCUUUGUGGUGACCGUCAGUGACAGGCCGGGAGGCAUCACAGAACUUGCCACCAUCAUCAGCUCCAUGGGCAUCAGCAUUAAAGAUAUAUUCCAUGAGAGGGCUUUUCUGAAGAGUGAAAUCUUCAAUGUCCAGGUUAAGUGUGUGGUGGAGACGCGGGACCAGGAACACUCAGAUGAAUUGUACCGGGCACUCAAGGCCCACUACCCCAGCGGUCGGAUCAUCUGGGGACCCCACUGCAUUUAAACUUGAAAUUAAUAGUCAAACUUCUUACAGGUUUUUCCUGUAAUACCCAUAAAAGUUAUACUUAAAUGUCCCUGAAACACAAUGUUAAGCAACAAAAUAAGUAGAUGAUAAACAUUUAUAGUCAAAUUCUGCCAUAGUCUUACCAUUUCUGGGGCCGAUUUCAUGAAACUCAUCUUAUCUUGCAACUUAUCUUAGGGCUGAAGAUGAGUGCCAACUCUAAGAUUGAUCUUUGCUAAGAAAAUUCGAAGAUCGAUUUCACCAAACUCAUCUUAAAAAAGAUGGGUCAUUACUAGAAAUUUGAUGGUGGUUUCAUGUUUCGUUGUACCCUUUCACGAAAACAGUCGUUGAAAAUAAAGGGAAAGCCAAAAUAUGAAUGUGUGGCAGAACAAUUGACUCAUGUAUGCUUCCAAUCAUUUUGAUUAUUCCAUUUUAAAGUGACGAAUAGGAUUUCCUGUACCGCUAUAUUUUUUUUAGCAUUUUGCUUUAAUUAAAACUACCUAAUUGUAAGUGAUAACACUUUUCAAGUCUGUUUCUGCGGCUAGUUUUCAUCCAACAAAACUGUUACAUGUAUAGCUCUAGGACAAUACCUCGACAAUUAUGUGUUGAUGAGAUAAGACGACCCUCAGACCAAUCUUAAGUUAGGAAGAAUUCCUGAAGAAGUUAGGACUUGUUGAACACGUCCUCAAGUUUAGUGAAGUUGAUCCUACGAUGAGUUGUAAGAUUAGACAAGUUACCCUUCUUAAGACACGUCUCAGUGUUUUAUGAAAUCAGCCUCAACCCCUGGUGUUUUUACCCCAGCCUUUUCAUUUACCGUGAUUCAAGGGAACCAAUUUUUUUUAGGUUUUGCAGACUCAGCUCAACUGAUUAUAAUACAUUACAUGUACCAUUGACUGAGUGAGACAAAUUUCAGAGAUUUUUUUGGGGGGGGGGUUGGCUAAAUACAUACCCUUUACACAUGUACAAUGUGUUGGUGAAGUUUCUUUCUGCAGUUGUAUGAUUCAACAAAUGUCAUAGACUCUUGGACUUGUAAACUUGUGAAAAUAAUUCCUCAGUGUAUCCUCAUUCCUAAACUCCUAUUGGAUCCCCAGUUUCAAAAAAGAGGGAGAAAAAAAGUGUGUCUCAGGUUUCCUUUUUGUAAGUGAGGGGAUAACCAGGGGAGGGGAUGCUAAACAGGGGCCUUGGUCCCCCCCCAAAAAAAAGAGCCAAAAAAAUUAAAGGGAAACCUUUUUUUAGUCUGUUUCAUUUCCAUUCUUUCAAAAAGGGUGUAAAAAGUCUCAAAAUGUAGCCUCUCUCCCUCCCAGAAAGGCCAGGUUACAUGAAGAAAUGUCCAAGUAUUUUGCUCCCCCUUCUAAAUUUUGGUGCGGAAUCCGCCCUUGUUUGUAAGAGACAUAAAACCAUGAUCAAGUCAGAUGUAACUUAGUAAAGACAUAUUACCUUUGGCUUUGGUCUUAUUGCUCACUGAAUAUCGUGCCAUAAAUCUAAGCUUUGCAUUUGCUCUUGAGAUGUGUUUUUUUUUUCUUCAAGUAAAACUGUCAGUAUCUGACGAUGUGAGAUAUGUAGUUGUAUUAACACGCGUUAAUGAAAGAGGGCAGUAUUUUGUUUUGCUACAUUAAAAGUCAUGCUCCACAAACUGAUUUUGAGCAUGGACCCUGACAGAAAUCUUGUCGCAAGGUUUCAAAUUUGAUAACCAAUCAAGUAUAUGUCCCUUCUCUGCUAUAUGAUUGCAUUAGGCAUUUUGUGAAACACAAUAGAGUACUUUGAAGUAAACUGCAAUAUUGACUCUAUAUUUCUUGCAGAAAGAUGAAAAACUCUGAAAUACGUAUACCCAUAUCUGGGGAUUUUAUUUUUCUUUGCCUUUGAAAUAAUGGGGAGUGAACUCAACUUCAUUCACAAGGACAAAAGUAAUAUUGAAAUAUAUCUCUUUAUAUUCAAGUACGUUAGUGUACGGAACACUCUGCUGAAAGACUCAAACUUCUGAAUUAGAGCCACAGGCUCACUAAAGUGCUAGGCCUUGUUUCCAAGUCUCUUCCCCGUAAGAUGAGCUUAUUGAAACUUUGUGUUAAAAUCAACAGACUUGGUAGAGUAUCAUUUUUUACUCCAGCAUAGCCAAUACAAAUGAUGCUCGGCAUUUUAAGCCUGGAAAGAAGACCAACAGAAGGCAAUAAUUAUAGUUGGUUUACCUACAAAGAGGUGGACUGUUUUUACCUUAACAUGUAUUAAUAUUUGAAAAGGUUGAAAAUGUGAAUUAUUUCGCAGACUUUGUAUUUGACAUAUUUAGAAAUGAGAAACUAAGUAAGAGUAAUGAGAAUUUCUAAGUUUGGUUUCCAUUGUGAUUUGUAUGAUAUACCAUGGCUUCUUUCAUGUAGUAAUACAUUUCAACUAUUUAUUCUAGAUCAGGAAUUCCUUCUCGUGUGUGACAUUUAAUAAAAUCCUUUGAAUGUUUUCUUCGCAUUUUGACCAUUUACAAAUAUUGGACACACAAUAGAAGUUUAAGUUUUCAAUUUUUGGGGGUGUGAAAAACACAGGAUCUCCUUAGGACAAGGGAUUUAAAAUGACGCCUGUGACACUUCUCUUUUGAAAUGUAUUGUCAGGGUAUAAAGAUUAACUUGAGUGCACAUUGCAGUACUUAAGGUUGUCGCUCUUUCGUACGGACGGGCAACUUUACAAAAGUGAGAACUGUUAAAAAGCAUGGUUGCCAAACCAGAUCAUCUUUCUUUCAGUUUUGGUAUGGUAUGUCAGGGCAUUUGGUAUGUCAGGGUGUCUUACAAAACUCUGAUUCUUCUGUUUUUGUAUUGUGUCACCCACGGUACUUUUUGAGCGAGCAUGGACAUCUGAGUACAUCCAUGGCAGGAACAGGUGUGCUACGUUGUUUGUUGUAUACCAGUGAGCUGUAUUAAAUUUUGAGUACUAACUGCUCAUUUCCCUGUGCAGAGAAAUCAAAUGCAGGUCUAUUAAAUUAUUGUGUUUGUAGAACAUCAUGAAAUAGGAUGCAACAAAUUCCCAAUAACGUACUCUGAAUGUAACAAGCACAGCAUAUGCAAAUAAUAAGUGCAUUUUCCAUCGGUGGUGUGAUUUAUUAAAAAGCCUUGGCAAACUUCAUCUGCAGAGCAUGCGCAUAAGUUUGCAUUCUUUACACAGAGUAAAACAAAAUGCUCAUUUACUAAAUGCGCAUUUUGGUUUUGGGGAUAGCAGCUUUGAUGACGCAUUGUUUUUAGAAUUCAGCUGCGGAUAUGCAAAUAGCUGUGCACAUGUACAAAAACUGGAGUUACCCACAGGUUUGUGGACCAAGAUGGAUGUGUCCAAAAGGCGUCACUUUUCUAGGCAAAUGAGCUCACUCAUAGCUUAAUUAUAGCUCUUUGAGUGAUACUAAAUGGGAGAUGGUCUCAGAGUUGAAGCUUUGAGAUUCACCUCAAUUUAUUUGUAAACUGCUUGAAAGCUUACAGUGUAUGUUGUGUUGGCAAGGCAGCCUUAAGAACUUUUCUUUAUUAGUAUUUAAAGCUAUCUCUCUGCCAUUGUGAAAAAUUUGAUUUGUGUAAAUAACACUAUGAGCAUACAUUUGCAAGUCUGCUUGGAAGGAGGUCGUGGGUUUGACUUCCGCCCAAGGAAGCUUUCCCUUUUUUUUUUAACAGGUUCUCGGAAAUCACUGAGAAUACGGUGCCCAAUAAAUUAUUUUGGCCAAGGGCAAUUAAAUAUUUAACUCCAGGACACAAUAAAGAUUAGAACCAAACAUUUAUAUAUUAAAAGUAUUUGGUUGGGUUAUUGAUAUGUAUUUGUGUAAAAUAAAAUCAUUUAAAGAAAAUCAACAUUUUCACACAAUGGUAUGCAGGGUAAAUUAAGUCCGUCUCUGUGAUUUUAUACAGUGCUCAACAUGGCAAACAAUGCACCUGGUUCAGCAAACAUUUAAACAUUUUUGAGGAUUUUAUAUUGUUCUGUUCCGUAGUUAUAUGGACUGUUAUUGGUUUUUUUCAGUGCCUACUAGCAAAGAAACUUUCCUUUGUCAGGAAAUUGGAAAAAACUGUAGCCCAGGUAUUUGCAGUGUGCUCAAAAUAGUGUGUUCCUUGCAAAGCUGAAAGCCGCAUCUUAAGUGAAUGGCUGCAGCUGGAAGUAAAGCAUGUGUCUAUAGGGAGUAGCCACAGCCUCAAGCUUGUGGCUUCCACAAGGGCUUGAAUUAAUUCCAGCUGCAGUCACAGGGUGGUUUGCCCAGGAGUUUCAAGAAGAAUGGCAUCUUUGGAACUAGAAGUUUUGUCCUUGAAAUAGAAAUUCGCUUCACUCGUGGGCUUUCUCUUUCAGCCAACAGUGUGGUGGAUUGUUGUCAUGGUUUGUCAAUAGGAACACCCAUGACAAAUCUGGUGGUAACAUGUAGGAAAAGAUGCUAAUCUGUUUAUAGAUUUUCCCAAAUAUUUGCACAGACCCAAGCUCCAAAUCUCUACCUUGUGCAUCUGUUAAGCGAAUUGGAACAAACUCUCCAAAAAUGUGCAAAUUUUUACAAAUUUCAGUCAUGUAUUAGUACCUGAUUAGAGAGUAUCAAAGUGUGACGUCAUUUGGAACCAGGUAGUGCAGUGCAAACGAAUGGAGUACAUAUGCAUUCUGGUUCACACGCCGGUACUCGCAUUAGUACCUUUUACACAGUUAAUUAUGCACAUGACGUGUUCACUUUGGAACUCGAUAUCUAAGGACUUUAAUGCAUUCUUCAGUGACUAGCACUCGACUAGUACACAGACUUUUGCAUUUUGAACUUUUUUGAUAAACUACCUGAAAAAGAUGUGCUAGUCAAUGCAUCUGUGCGCUUCCGUGGAGCUGGAACUUACAUGUUGGCCAAAUAUUAAACUGUGUGAAAGUUCCAGCAAAACAUAUACAACAUUUAUCAUAGAUUGCUACCCUCAAACUUGAGGGAAAAUUGUUUGGAGAAAUGUGACAGUUUGAGUGUAUUCUACCACUUGUCAGAAUUCAGCCUGUGACUCCAACAAAAUGUGAAAGAAAUUGUAGUACUGUAUGGCAGUGGUGUUUGGAAAGUGAAGCAUUUAUGUCUGAAAGGAAAAUUCACUUCUAACGCAAAGGACUUGUUUUUUUUUAGAUUUAUCUCAGAAUAUUAUUUCAAUCCGCAUUUGUGGGUGCUUUGUACAUCAGUUUACAUUACAAUUCAGAUGUUAUCAAUAGUGGGUAAUAGCCUAAUCUAUUUGCUGAUGUGUGGAGACAUAGCUAGUUAAUAAUUACAGUUUUAUUUAUAUAUGGAACGGCUUUGUGGAAAAAGUAAUAAAAGAAAAUAUUUUUGAAAAUUA